GAAACAGAUGAGAGGCAGGAAAUACCAAAUUGCAUGUUUAUAAAUGCUGUGAAGGAAUAUGGCAAGAGGGGAUAAUGCUAGACUGGCGGCCAUGGAAACUGAAGUCUUCUGUUUGUUCACAGGACGGCUCAUAGCCCUGAAAGUCCCAGUUCAAGCUUCCACAAUCAUCCUACACAAGAGCACUGCUUCUCACAGGACUGCCUCAGCCUGGCAGGAUUCAGUCUCCUGCUCUGAGGGAAAAACAGGAAGUCAAGGAUCAAGACCGAGUGCUCAACUGAGAUCAGAAAGGAGGACACACAGUGACUUGGCCAAAUCACUGGAGAUUCACACAGCAGAGCUCAGACGAGUGCUAUCAGCACAGCUGAGGAAGACAACAGUUAGGGUGCAAGGAUCCUGAAAGAGAAACAUUGGUUGUGUUUUUAUUCCUUGGGUAUAAGAAUCCUGAAAGAGAAAGGCAUCUGAACCUUGGAGGCAUGGGGUUCAUCUCAUCCUCAUCCAGCCUGUGAUGAUGGAGCUGUUUUCACCAGAAACGUGAGGAGACUCAUACCACUUGAGGUAGUGUGGAUGUGUGGCACAGUUUUGGAGAGGGCUAUUCCCCUACCUUUACAUGGAAUCCAGUAACUCUCUGAAAACAUAGCAAUGGCAAAAGUCCUUUUCGAGACUGCAAGGAAAACAAACAACUACCAAGAGAAGUCCAAGCAUCAGGG
rnacentral:lncRNA from 1 species